rnacentral:rRNA from 1 species
UGGGGAAUAUCGGACAAUGGGCGGAAGCCUGAUCCAGCCAUGCCGCGUGUGUGAAGAAGGCCUUUUGGUUGUAAAGCACUUUAAGCGAGGAGGAGGCUACUUGGAUUAAUACUCUAGGAUAGUGGACGUUACUCGCAGAAUAAGCACCGGCUAACUCUGUGCCAGCAGCCGCGGUAAUACAGAGGGUGCGAGCGUUAAUCGGAUUUACUGGGCGUAAAGCGUGCGUAGGCGGCUUCUUAAGUCGGAUGUGAAAUCCCUGAGCUUAACUUAGGAAUUGCAUUCGAUACUGGGAAGCUAGAGUAUGGGAGAGGAUGGUAGAAUUCCAGGUGUAGCGGUGAAAUGCGUAGAGAUCUGGAGGAAUACCGAUGGCGAAGGCAGCCAUCUGGCCUAAUACUGACGCUGAGGUACGAAAGCAUGGGGAGCAAACAGG